rnacentral:ncRNA from 1 species
CUUGCAAUCAGUUUUUUCUUGAUUUACACAUGCAAGUAUCCGCACCCCUGUGAAAACGCCCUUAAAUUCCUCCUAGGGAUAAGGAGCUGGUAUCAGGCACAUCUUACUGCCCAAGACACCUAGCUACGCCACACCCACAAGGGACUUCAGCAGUGAUUAACUUUGAUUAUCAGCGACAGCUUGAUUCAGUUAAAGAAAACAGAGCCGGCUAAUCUGGUGCCAGCCGCCGCGGUUACACCACGUGGCUCAAAUUGACUUCUGUCGGCGUAAAGAGUGAUUUAAGAACCCCAAAAAUUGGCGUCAAAUUUUAACUAAGCUGUGACACGCUUGUCCCUUAGAAGCACUAAGACGAAAGUUACACCAACUAAACCAACUUGAACUCACGACAACCAAGGAACAAACUGGGAUUAGAUACCCCACUAUGCUUGGUAGUAAACCUUAAAUUACACCCAAAUCGCCAGGGAACUACGAGCAAAGCUUAAAACCCAAAGGACUUGACGGUACCCCAAAUCCACCUAGAGGAGCCUGUCCUAUAAUCGAUAACCCCCGCUUUACCUCACCGCUUCUUGUUAAUCAGCCUGUAUACCUCCGUCGUCAGCUUACCCCGUGAGCGAAACACAGUGAGCUUAAUGCCAUUUCACCAAUACGUCAGGUCAAGGUGCAGCUUAUGAAACGGAAAGAGAUGGGCUACACUCCCUAACUUAGGACACACGAAAAACUACCUAUGAAAUCUAGUUUAAAGGCGGAUUUAGAAGUAAAAAGAAGUUAGAGAAUUCUUUUUAACUCGGCACUG